UGUGCAGGGAGCAGCAGACAGAUGAUUCCCCAGUCCCGGAACACUCUCGGCCCUCUUCAGCCACUCCCUCCCCAACCCACACGCCAUCAACCUCCAGACCCUCUCGCCGUGGCUUAGAGGUGUCUCUGACAACGUGGCACACUGGGAAGGCCUUCUUUCCUGCUACCAAUACAAAUGCAUUCUGAAUUUGAUAUGUCAUUAAAUGUAAAAAUACAGCCAAUUUGAAACAAGCAAAUGGAAAUUCCCAGGAACCAAAAACAGAAAGAAAAAUCAGAGCUACCGCAGUGCUGUCCCUGCAGACAGAAUUUGGGAGAGGUACUCAGAGUCACCUCCUGUGAGCCUAUGCAAGCCAGCUCCUGCACAACCCUGGUUUUAGUCCAGCCUUCUGCAGAAUUCCACAUUAAACAGGAUGAAGAAUAGGUUGUUAGCAGACUGAGGUACUUGGGGCAACAUUUCGUACACAACAGGAGGGAGAAACGACUCCAGAAAAACAAUCAGAUUUUGGUGAAACUGAUGUUUGCAAGUGUGAGUGAGCCCCAUGUGCUGAAGCUUCAGGAACCCCUGAGAUGGCACAAGUUCUGCCGUACUGGGCAACGGAUGGUCUUGAAGCACACAAGACACUGGAAGACAUGAGGGCAAUUGCUACACGCCAAGCCCGGUGCCAAGCACGUUGUGCAGGUUGUUUCGUUGAUUCCGGGCCUGGCCUUUGAGAUCUGUGGAGGAUACCAUGAACUGGCUGGCUCUGCAUCCUGCUUGCAGGCGCUGGCAAGCUGGAACCUGCUUUUCUACGCCACACUGCAGAGGGCCCUGAAUGUGAUCUAUGAUUGCAACAAGCAGCCCUGAUGCGGAUCCGGAGGGCAGGGAUGACGUGGGGGCUGCCUUUCUGGUUGACCUGCUGGUUGUCUUGUGGUAGAGGAGAUUUUGCCUUGCAAUUUUACAUACUUAUGCUACGUGGAAGGCUGGGUGGCGUGACUUCAGAAAAAUGUUUCCUCAGGAAAGAGACACACAGAGAGAGAGAGAAAGAGAGAAAGAGAGAACCCACCUACCUGUUUUGCAAAAGUCUCAUGAAUCAUCCCUUCCUGUGGUCCUGCUCCCUGAGAUCCUUUCACCGCUCACAGUGGGCUACUUCUAAGAGCGUGCCUGGCACAGGGUCACUGAGAGCAUAGUCUUAAUAAAACAAUGAUGGAUGCUUGUCUCUCUCA
rnacentral:lncRNA from 1 species